GAAGCCUUGAGCAGUGGUGGAGCUGUGUGGAGAGAACCUGAAUCCAUUCUGAGAAGGGGGCCUCAUCCUACGGGGGCAGUGCUUCAAAUAUGAGUUGCCAGAACACUAGCUGGAGGAGCUGGCCUUGUGCCAACUUGCCGUGUUAGACGCUUGAUGCAAAACGAACAAAUGAGAAGAUGAAUGAAAGAAUAAAUGAAUGAAGGGCCAGCUUAAUAUUAAGUACCACUCUUGUCAGCUUCUCACGUCCGGUCUUACUCAGGAGUCUUAUCAUCGUCCCUCAGCUCCAGGGAGAGAAAAACCUACAAAUCAAGCAAAAGACAUCUUCCUCAGGAGCGUUCUUCUCACCUGAAAGGCACAGUGAGAAAGGAAUGAAGUGUGCAUUGAAUCCGAAGCUUGGGUGAGGCCUCUCAGCCUUGGGACAGACAGCAGCACAGCCAAAGGGCCUCGAGAGAAACGAGGACUGAGUUUUGAAAAGCCUUCUGUGGCCAUUUGCACUCAGGGGCAAAGCAGUGGAGACCACCUGAGUGGGGGAACUGCAUUUAUUCAUAUACACAUUUUACAAACCUUUCUUGAGGAUGACUGAAAUUCUAAAUCACUUAGCUAAGAACCAUAAGGGGAGACAAAUUACCUUAUGCUCAUACGUGUCAUAUACGGAGCUUCCAUUGAGGAGGAGCAGGCGGGAAUUGAAACAGGAAAAAUUUCCACUUAUAGCAACACAUGCCCUAGGAGAUAUCACAAUUAAAUAUUGUGUUUCAUCAUAACUGAUUCUAAGCAGCUGAAGUGGACCCAAACGCCAAACCCCCACUGGACUCAACUAAAGACUCUUUCCUCAACAAUGAACGAUGGAUUUGUUUGAACCAACCAGGUACAGACCUUUAGAUUAAUUUCUGGAGUGCUGGUUUUCGAGCCUUAAUCAUUGUGAGCCCCUCUCCAAGAUUAAACAUCCCCGACUCUCCCUCCUCGGCUGACUAUUCAGUGAAUUUCUUCACUUGUGC
rnacentral:lncRNA from 1 species